UACGUAGGGGGCAAGCGUUGUCCGGAAUCAUUGGGCGUAAAGCGCGCGUAGGCGGCCCGGUAAGUCCGCUGUAAAAGUCCAGGGCUCAACCCUGGGAUGCCGGUGGAUACUGUCGGGCUCGAGUCCGGAAGAGGCGAGUGGAAUUCCUGGUGUAGCGGUGAAAUGCGCAGAUAUCAGGAGGAACACCGAUGGCGAAGGCAGCUCGCUGGGACGGUACUGACGCUGAGGCGCGAAAGCGUGGGGAGCGAACAGG
rnacentral:rRNA from 1 species